rnacentral:tRNA from 1 species
CGUGAUGUCUGAGUUUUUCUUAGACCAUGAUCCUGUCACCUUAGGUCGAUCGGUACCUCAGGUUGAGAGCUAAAAUUUAGUUGAUUUAUCAAUUUUAAGUUUGGCAAUCAAUUUCAGUUCCUAAACUUUGUCUAGGUCACACCCAGCAAGGGUACUCCUGGGCCAUUAGCUCAGGUGGUUAGAGCGCACCCCUGAUAAGGGUGAGGUCCCUGGUUCAAGUCCAGGAUGGCCCAUUCGGUGUUGGGGGUAUAGCUCAGUUGGUAGAGCGCCUGCUUUGCAAGCAGGAUGUCAGCGGUUCGAGUCCGCUUACCUCCACUGAUCAAUCUCCUGAUGGCCGAUUCGAAAGGAGAAUGCCUGAUCUGUAGUGUGAUUUAGAUUUUGUUUCCGCAUAAAGAACCUAGCUUCUUAUCAUCCUUUAACUUGACUUUAUUGAUCAAACAAAGGUUGAUAUGACGCUGGGCUCACUGCAAUUAGUUUAUUGCAGGGAACUCAGUAGAACCUUGACAACUGCAUAGUGAGUCUGGAAAGAAUAAAGCAUCUCAUGGAUGCAUCAAUUCUUUUUCUUUUGACUAGAAUAUUUUUUAAAGAGAAUUCUCUGGUUAAAAAUAAAAAGAUUGUUGUUUGAUUCUUGAGCAAGAGCAAAGACUCUGAAAUU